UACGUAGGGGGCAAGCGUUGUCCGGAAUCAUUGGGCGUAAAGAGCGCGUAGGCGGCCCAGUAAGUCCGCUCUGAAAGUCAGGUGCUCAACCCCUGAAUGCGGGUGGAUACUGCUGGGCUAGAGUCUGGAAGAGGCGAGUGGAAUUCCUGGUGUAGCGGUGAAAUGCGCAGAUAUCAGGAGGAACACCGAUGGCGAAGGCAGCUCGCUGGGACGGUACUGACGCUGAGGCGCGAAAGCGUGGGGAGCAAACAGG
rnacentral:rRNA from 1 species